rnacentral:lncRNA from 1 species
UCCUGACACGUCCAUACGUACAGACCUGAGUGACAAAGACAAGUGACACUAUAACAGAAAGGCCGUUAGACGUCACUAGCAGAUAAAAUGAAAGGAAUAAAAGGGAGGAACAUCUUCCUCUCCAUCUAAUCUUAGACUCAUACUGUAAACUCCAUUAUGGCCAAGUGUGGGUUCCACAAGAAGAUUGUAUAUAGCAGAGAUAUUAACAUCCUUUAUAUUCUACGUUCUACAUCCACCAAUCAAAAAAUUUAUAUAUUUAACUUUUUAUUGUGAAUGGAUUAUAAAAUUUUUUAAAAAC